UUGGAGAUAACAGAUAUCAAUGCUCUUGGAGAGAUGCUUGAAUUAAAGAUGUAAGAGAUGGAUGAAUCCUAGCUCUUCUCACAGAACGAGCAUUGCUUCUUCCUUCAGCAUACUCCUCUCCCAGUGGCCACCUUGGUCGUAGAUCAUACACAAAAUCUUCUGCUUCAUCUGCAAGCGGUGGAGGAUCAAAUCUUCCCAUGCAGAAGUGCUCAAUUCCAGUCCAAGCCACCAUUACACCAUUAUCAGUACAAAGACUUGAAGGAGGGCAUACAAGUUUCAGGUUCUUCUUCUUCACAAUCAGAUCAAGCCGGGUUCGGACAUAUUGAUUUGAUGCAACACCCCCAGAGACCACCAAAUAUUUGAUAGAGG
rnacentral:misc_RNA from 1 species